AGAUAACUGGUUUCGGAGUCAUUAAUGUGGAAGAGAUCUACAACGUCCAUUCCACAACAAUGGCUGGAAGAAUCCAUGGGGACUGUAUGUGGCUUCCUGAAAAAAGUGAUAUCCCCACCCUCCACCCCCGUUUUCCCGAAGCAAUGGGAGAUUCGGAACUAAUUCUAGGUUGCGGAAAAAUCUUUUCUGGAAGAAGUAAAAAGGAAAAAUAAAAGAUGAUCUGAAGGGAAAUUUUAUUUUAUUUAUUUUAAAUUUUUUGUGAGGACGAUUGGCCCUGCUUGAGGAAGAUCUGCGCCCAGGAUCUGAAGCUGUGAACCCCAGGCCAGCAAAGUGGAGCACGCAAACUUAACCACUACGCCACCAGGCCAGCCUCGUGUAAACGCUAUUCUUGUCAAAAAACUAAAGAGAAACUCCCUUCAUACCCCAGUCUUCAAGUGAUUUCCAUGGAGCUGAAAUGGUUUGGAGGAGAGAAGCAACUAUAUAGACAAGUUUUUAAAGUUUGGGAUGAUCUCAUUUGGGGAUGAAAAAGACGGCUGUGCACUGAGAAUUUCCCACAGAUUAUCUCUAUUUGGGAAAAAAUAUAAGCUGAUAUUGUCUUUAUUUUAGGUUACUGAAAGAUGAGCCACAUCUAAAUAUAUUCUAUUCAUUCAAUUCAACAACUAUUUAUUGAGCACACGCUAUGUGCAGGAUACUGUUCUCAUCACUAGAGAUGGAACAGUGAACAAAACUGACAAAAAUUCCUACCCUGUGGAACUUACGGUCCAGCCGGAGGUGAGCAAGGCUUGAUGAGUGGUGUGUAGGUCUGUGCCUGGCAUCUGAACCUGGAAACCCCAGACCACUGAAGCAGAGCAUGCAAACUUAACCACUACAUGGCCAGGCCAGCCCCAGACCUCAUUUGAAAGGUAUCAUUUGAGCAAAGACUUCAAGAAGGUUUCUUUGGGUCAGGAGCAACUUAGCUGAGCAGUGCUGGCUUGAGAUCUCUCAUGAAGGGUCAGUCAAGAUGUCAGGUGGAGCUGCAGUCCUCUGAAAGUUCAACGGAGGCUGAGAUCCCCUUUCAAGGUGGCUCACUCACAUGGCUGAUGCCUCAGUUCUCUUCAGGCUCCGUUCCCCAAGGCUGCUUGAGUAUCCUCAUAACUUGGUGGCUGGCUUACCCCAGAAUGAAUGAUUCAAGAAGGAGAGCACCAAGUGGAAGCUACGUCCUGGAAAGUAUGGUAGCAUCUUUUCCACCAUCUGUUGGUUAUCUGUGAGUCACAGUGGAGGAAGAGAACUUCUCUUUCCCAAUAGUUUCAACCACAGUUCUAGAAUUGUUUCCCAGUAGCUUUGCCUGGGUCAUCAUCACUCUGGCCAAACAUGAGUCUUGUGCUAGUCCUUGGAGCUGAGAGAUGAGGUCAGUUCCAUCUGAAACACAUGGACUGAAAGUGGGAGAGAGAGAGUUCCCCAAAGGGAAAUCAGGGUAUUGUUACCAGAAGAAGAAGGAAUAGAUACCAGACAAGCAAAAAUAAAAGAUGUCCACUAUAGUGCCUCUGCGUUAUUGGAAAUUGUUAUGGAAAGUGUGCAUUCCUUUUAUGAAAAAACUUACAUUAAAGACAAAAAAGUUUAAAGAUAUUAACUGUCAUCUCUGCAAAGUGCAAUUACAGUAAAAUUUCUCCCAGUUUUCUAUUUAUUCCAAAUUUCCUUUCAUGGGUAGGUAUUACAUUUUUUUUCCCGCUUUUUCUCCCCAAAUCCCCCCCAAUACAUAGUUGUAUAUUUUAGUUGUAGGUCCUUCUAGUUGUGGCAUGUGGGAUGCCACCUCAACAUGGCUUGAUGAGUGGUGCCAUGUCUGCCCCUAGGAUCCAAACCAGUGAAACCCUGGGCCAACGAAGUGGAG
ensembl:lncRNA